AGCGUCCGUGAUGUUCAGCAAUUACCUACAUUGUUUGAUCUUCAUGAAAAAAACACUGGCUGAGACGCCU